rnacentral:rRNA from 1 species
GGACCCGCACAAGUAGUGGAGCAUGUGGUUUAAUUCGAAGAUACGCGCAGAACCUUACCAACACUUGACAUGUUCGUCGCGACUUUAAGAGAUUAAAGUUUUCGGUUCGGCCGGACGAAACACAGGUGCUGCAUGGCUGUCGUCAGCUCGUGUCGUGAGAUGUUGGGUUAAGUCCCGCAACGAGCGCAACCCUCACUUUUAGUUGCCAUCAUUAAGUUGGGCACUCUGAAAGAACUGCCAGUGAUAAGCUGGAGGAAGGUGGGGAUGACGUCAAGUCCUCAUGGCCCUUACGUGUUGGGCUACACACGUGCUACAAUGAUAUCUACAACAGGAAGCAAGACGGCGACGUUAAGCAAAUCCUUAAAAGAUAUCUCAGUUCGGAUUGCACUCUGCAACUCGAGUGCAUGAAGCUGGAAUUACUAGUAAUCGU